GAUAAACGCUGGCGGCGUGCAUGAGACAUGCAAGUCAUACGGGCGAGCUUGCUCGCCAGUGGCGGACGGCUGAGUAACGCGUAGGUGACCUGCCCCGAAGUGGGAUAACUGCCCGAAAGGGUGGCUAAUACCGCAUGUGGUGGUGCGUUCAGUCGCACCAUCAAAGCAGCGAUGCGCUUCGGGAGGGGCCUGCGUCCGAUUAGCUCGNGGUGGGGUAACGGCUCACCAAGGCGACGAUCGGUAGGUGGUCUGAGAGGACGAUCACCCAGACUGGGACUGAGACACGGCCCAGACUCCUACGGGAGGCAGCAGUCGGGGAAUUUUGCGCAAUGGACGAAAGUCUGACGCAGCAACGCCGCGUGAGGGAUGAAGGCCUC
rnacentral:rRNA from 1 species